rnacentral:lncRNA from 1 species
AUAUGUGAUAAAAUAUUCAUCAACUGUGAAUCUAGUUAUUAUCACAUAUAUUAACUUAAAUAUUAUUAUAAAAUAGUAUCACAACGUUCCAAAUUCGAACUAUUUUAUGAGUCAUAAUAUGACAAGUAACGAACACUGCUUACACAAAAUAAAAUACUGCAUACGCUAGAGAAAGUUUAAAACUUUUGAAUGAAGUCAUAGAUGUGUUUGCUAAUCUCAUGUGGCCUUUCUUGGCUGACAAAGUGAGCUGCACCUUCUAAAACCACAACUUCCUCCAACAAUGGAACAUCUUUCUUAAAUCCACCAUUGUGUAUGUACUCUUUAGCACCUGGUAUAUGAUAAACCAAGUCGAAUUCUCCGACGAUAAACUUGGUCGGAACUUUAACUUGAGCUCCUGUCCAUGGUGCUGUGAGUUCCCAGUUUCUACAUUUCAUAACACGAGAAUGUUAGGAUCCAUGUAUGAAGAAGUUGAUCAAGAGAGUCUAAAAGCAACUACUAGCGUCUACGUUGUUCAAACUCUUUAGAAAUGCUUCCGAGUGUGUUUUGGAGGAUCCGGCACAAGUGUGCAACAAUUUUGGAGAGUCUGAGCAACAUAGAAUACGAUAGUAUUCAUGAACUUCACAAUUUUCUUGACUUCCAAGAAAACAUGUCUCAAACUAAAAUUAAAAAUCUCGUGACAACACAAAUGUGAACUAUAUAAACAUACAACUAAUGUGUCGAACAAUAGAAUCAAUUUUUUUAUAUCACAAAAGUGGGGAACACUUACAUGGGUAAAGCACGGUAAUAGUUAACUGCACCAGUGAAACCAGUCUGCUCAAACUUGUUGGCAUAGUAAUCCAACUCUUCCUCAGAAAGCCACGAUGAAAGGGCAACCGGAGCAUCAGGGAUAGCCUCAAGGCCUUUGCCUUUAGGAAAAUAAAAUGGUGCAGGAUCGCGGUAUGUCAAUAUUUUCUUAAGAACAGACUUAGCACCAAUUGGAGCAAAUUCAGCUUCAAUUUCGCCCGGUACCUACAAGGUAAAAUCACAGUGAACUUUUUUGCUGCUGAAGUUACCAAUGCAAAUUUAACUUGUUCCGUCCAUACUAUUAGUUGUAGUAUUACUCUUGUCCUUCGAUUUCUGUUACUACAUAGCAUAUGUUGUUAUUGAAUAUACCCCAGAAAACAUGUAAAAAUCCCUAUAUCAAACACAAAUGAAACGGAUACAGGGACAAAAACAGAGGGAACCUGAAAUCUCGAUAUAUAAUGAUCUUCCCCAUAUAUAGCCUUUAGCCCCUCAACCACAUUCAUCUUUGGGUUCCUUUUGGAAAAAUGGACACUCAAAUUCACCAAGGCUUUAACUUUAUCUGGCCUAAAAAGGCAUAAAUGCCAAGCAAUUAACGCGCCCCAGUCGUGCGCAACGACAAACACCUUUUCUUCAUUAGGAGCAAUGGCUUCAAGCAGUGCUACAACAUCACCCACAAGGUGAAGGAUACUGAACUUUGAAGGGUCAUUAAGGGGUGCACCAGUAGUAUCUCCAUAACCCCUUAAGUCAGGCGCCACAGCACGGUACCCACGUUCAGCUAAGUAGACCAUUUGGUGGCGCCAUGAGUACCUGUUGCGGAAGAUUGAGUGUUAACUAUCAUAGAACCAAAGAUAUAGAGACAAGGAAGAUCGUGGGUGACUAUCAUAGAACCAAACCAAGCCUCGUAGCUCGAGACAAAAAGCAGAAAGAGUUUUUCACUAUGAAUGUACAAAACAAAUAAUCCCCAAUUACAAUCUUAUUAUACAAAUCUCAAGUAGUUCAUAAUCCUACAAGAAGUAAAGAAGGACGCCCGAUGCUAAAAGCAUCUCGCGCUCAUGCAUGGUCCAUAAAAGGGCUGCACCUGAGGGGUGUGAUAUAGCUAGUCUACCCUAAUGCAUGCAAGCAUUAGUAUGUUGCUUCUAUAGUUCGAACCCAUGACUUAUAGGUCAUAUGGAAACAAUUUUACCGUUGUUCCAAGGCUCCCCUUAAUAAUCCUACAAAAAAUGAUUUCCCAAAUCUAUUGCGGAAGAUCGUCGAUUAACUAGCACACAGUCAAAGCAAAGAGAGAACAGAAAAAACAACAUAAGGAUUAACGAGAUUGGGGUAAGCUUAGUGAGAUGAAUUGUACAGUACGGAAUAAUUAAAAUUUCAUCACACAAAUGUCAUGGAAGAUCGUGAGUUAACUAGCACACGAUCACACAAUCAAAACAAAUAGAGCGAAAAAAAUAAUUCCAGUCAAGAUUAGUCCUCGAGGCAAAAGUAGAUAGAGUUUUUCACUAUGAAGGAGCAAACAACCUCUAUUAUACAUAUCUCAAGUAGUUCCUAAUCCUACAAGAAAUGAUUUCCCAAACCUACUAGAAAACAACAACAUACUCAGUGUAAUUUUACAAAGUGAGGUCCGGGGAGGGUAGAGUAUACACAAACCUUGCCCCUGCGUCAAAAGGUAGAAAGAUUGUUUCCGACAGACCUUCGGUUCACCAAAACAUACUACGAUUUCACUAUGGUGUGGCUGUACCAAAUAUCUGGUCUAUGAUUAUGUUGUGGUUGUCAUUGUCAAUUUCACUAUGAUUGUUAUCAUUUAAAAUACUAACACUUCAAAGUUUUAAAAAGGUUGAGUACAUUGACAUUGAACCAAGUGUUGUUAAAGAGUACGUAAAAAACACAUGAUAACUUGUUCAAAUUUUUAGAAAGAAUUUAUGUGUGUAUUUUUUACGUCUAUUACGUAGAUAAAUUAAUCACUUAAAAUAUGUCAGCUCCUUUAAUUAUAUAUACAUAUUAGUCGUAAAAUUGAGGCAUGUAAGACGGGACUGAUGUGACAUAUAUUUUAUGUAGUUAACUUAGAACGUUGAGAUCACACAAUAAUAUUUUUCAAAAUUUGAGUGGAAAGUACCUAAUAGAAACACUUGUUCAGAUGCUAAAUUAGAAAUAUGUCCUAGUUUGAGUGUCUAAAUUAAUUUAUUGGCAGGGAUUGUUCAUGUAUUGCAACAUAAGGAUUAACGAGAUACAGGCAAGCCUAGUGAGACGAAUUGUAUAGUACAAAAUAAUUAUAAUUACAAUUUCGACAUCAUACAAAGUUCAAGUAGUUUCAAAUGUGUUGUGGAAGACCAUGGAUUAACUAGCACACGAUCAUACAAUCAAAACAAAUAGUGGGGAAAAAACAACACAGUCAUUUAACGAGAUCCAGUCAAGAUUAGUCCUCGAGGCAAAAGCAGAAAGAUUUUUUCACUAUGAAUGAGCAUACAAUCUGUAUUAUACAAAUCUCAAGUAGUUCCUAAUGAAUGUUACAAAAUGAUACCUACAUGGAUGUCAGACAACUAGUUAUUGGGCCAAGAAGAAACAACAAAACUAGAAGGCUUUUGCAAAGGUUGAUUUGGGACCUAGGCCCACAAAAACAUCUAGCUAAAAGGACGACAUAUGAGAAAGAACGUUUUAUGAAAAUUGUUAUGAAGAGUCUAUAUUCCCUCGUCCCCUUUCUGAGUAUCUGACCUCUCAUCUCUUUCUAGUUCUUACUAUCCUUUAGUUCCCUAUUAUGUAAUUGGUUACAUUUAUGAGUUUUUUCUUAGAAUUUGGUUCUUUACAAAAUGAUUUCCCAAACUUACAAUGAAAAUAGGUUCCCCAAACCUACUAGAAAACAACAACACAUACCCAAUGUAAUCCUAUGGGUCUACGGAGUGUAGACUAUACGCAGACUUCAUUCCUACCUCAAAAUUAAAGAGGUUACUUCCAACAGGCCCUCAACUCAACAAAAGCUACAAGAAAACAACAAUAUAGCCAAUGUAAUCCAGCAAAGUGUGGUCUAGGGAAUGUAGACAGUACACAGACUUUAUCCCUACCUCAAAAUUAAAAAGCUUAUUUCUGACAGACCAUCAACUCAACAAAAGCUACUAGAAAACAACAACAUAUCCAAUGUAAUCUUACAAAGUGGGAUCUAGGGAACGUAGACAGUACACAGACUUUAUCCCUAUCUCAAAAUUAAAGAUGUUGUUUCCGAAAGACCCUCAAAUCUAAUAUAAUUUAGGAUUUACAAAAUUCAAGAUUGAAACAAACAGUACCAGAGUUCAGGGAAGCCAUGGAUGAAGAGGAUUGUUGGGCCUUGGCCUAAUUCUGCUAUAUGCAUAUUUAGGCCAUUUACAGCUACCAUCUUGUGCUCUAUCUUCUCCAUUUUUGUUUGUUUUUUUUCUUAGAUCUCGAGUCUUUCUAUGUGUGUGCUUUUAUUAGCCUUGCUGUGGUUGUAUGGCCUGUUAUUAUAAAUACAAGUAGUUGUACCAAAAUAUCUGACUUGUGUCAUUUUCAAUUUUACUACUAUGUGAUAAAAGUAUUCGUUCCACUUGAACAUCUGAAUAUGUGAUAAAAUAUUUAUAUUAAAUCUUUUCAAUUUAAUAUUGAUUUUUUUUUUGUAUAUUCUUAAUAUUUAUUAUAUGAAUAAAUUAAUCACUUAAAAUUUAAUAUAUCAGCUAUUUUUUAUAAGUUGUAAAACUAAUCAAAUUUGUUACUAUUGAAAUUACGUGACAUAAAUUGAGAUCAUGCACAAUAAUUUUUGGCCAGUGAUUAGACAUUUAGUUGUUGUUGUCAUUGUCAAUUUUACGUGAUUGCUUUGAGUAUCUAAAUAUGUGAUAAAGUGUUCAUAUUGAAUAUUUUUUUAUUGAAAUUUUUAAAAAAAUUGUAUGUAUUCUUAAUAUUUAUUAUGUGAAUAAAUUAAUCACUUAAAACAUAACAAUUUUUUUAAUUAUAUAUAAACUAGUCUCAAUAAAUUGUAAAACUAAUAGGCUUGUUAUUAUUGAGGCCGGUGAUGUGUAUAUAAUAAAACUUCAUGACAUAUUUUAUGUUAUUAAUUAACUUAGACGGUUGGAGAUCAGGACAAUUAUUUCUAGCCUGUGAUUUAGACAUUUUGUGGUUGUCGUUGUCAAUUUCACUAUGCAAAAGUGAUUGCAUUGGUUUACCAUAUGAAUAAGUGAUAAAGUGUUCAUACUUAUUAAAUACGUUCAACUCAAAUUAGGAAAAUAUUUUUAUAAGUAUUUUUUAAAUUAAACACUUAAAAUAUAUCAGCUUCUUUAACUAUAUAUAUUAGUCUUAACUCUCAAUAAAGUUGUAAAAUUAAUCAGGUUUGUAAUUGAGGUCAAUAUGUAUAAUAAAAAAAGUGACAUAUUUUUUGUAAUUAAUUAAUUUAAACGGUUGAGAUCAUGCACAAUAUUUUCUUUCAAAAUUUAAGUUAGAAGUGUCUCAUAUGAAUACUUAUUUAAAUGCUAAAUUUAGAAUAUAACAUAGAUUGAGCGUUUAAGAGCAUGUUUGACAUUAUUGUUGGGAGGCCAAAAGUGUUUUUUUUUUUAUAAAAGCACUUUUUUGAAGAAAAAAUAAAUAGUGUUUGGCGAAUUCUCAAAAAUGAUUUUAAAUGGAAGCAGAAGCAGUUUUUCUGAUGUUGGGAAACUCCUCGUUUCUGGCAUGCUAUAGUUAUUAAAGUCUCUCGACGGCGGAAAUGGGAGAUUACCGGUACGCCAGAGGCUUCGCGAACCCUAUUCGAAUAUCUCGUGGCACCACAUCUUUAGACAAAGGGCAGGUUUAGCUAUAGCCCAGUCAACUGUUGGGAAGUUAAAAAUUUCUGCUUCUUGAAAAAAACAGAAGCAGAAGCAGAAAAUUAUUUUCUUGAAGACUAAAAUAUUCCUCCCAUAUAUACAUAUUUACCAAUAUAUCCCUUAUUAAUUAAUUAACAUAUAUCAUAAAUUUGGUUAAGUUUCUUACAAGAAUUUUAAUUUUAAUUUUUAUAUAUAUAAUAAAAAAUUUAUUUUAUAUUUAUAUACUAUAAUUAUUUUAUAUUUUAUAUAUUAUUUUACGUCUUAUUUUACAGAAUCAGAAAUAAAUGUAACAACGACAUUUUUGUAGGAUUAAAAAUAUGAAGGAUUUUAUUUAUUUUUGUGGUGAUUUUUUUGUGUAUAGUGGUUUACUUUGUGGAAUAGUUUUUAAAUUUAUUUUUCUUGAUAUUUUGAAUUAUAGUUAAGUCAUCAUGUUAAUAUUAUCUUAAUAUUUAAUUUAUUUGUUUAUUUAUGUAUAAUAUAGAUUGAAAAUUUGAAUAUGCAUAUUUUCAUUAAAAAAUUUCUAAUAGAUAUUUGAAAUAGUUUCUCUCUAUAAAAUAAUCUUAGUAUUAAAAGUACAUUGAUACUUACCCUUUUUCGUAAUUUGACUCUAAAAACCCUUUUUAAAAAAGAUUAGUCUAACACGAUUUGCUUAACAAAAGCACUUUCAAAUGAAUUAGCCAAAUGCAGAUUACUUUUUUUCAAAAACACUUUUUUUAAAAAUCAUAUAAAAAAAUACUUCUAAAAAUAAGUAAUUUUUAGCAGAAAUGCCAAACAUGUUCUAAAUUAAUUAUUGACAAAUUUAAGGAUUGUUCAUGUAUUCAGUCUUUCAAAAAUGAUGUCAUAUCUUAUGUAUUAGAAAAAAAUAUUUAGGGGUUUGUUUGAUAGGUAAAAAAUAUUUUUCUGAAAUUAUUUUUAUGAAAAAGAAGUGAUUUACUUAAUUAUUUUUAAAUAUUUAAUAAUUAAAUAAAAUAUUAUUCCAAAAAAAUUAUACUCUAUUUAUUUCAAUUUAUCUAUCUUAUUUUUUUUUCCGUUUGGAUAGUAAUAAUUUUUGGAGCUAAUUAAGUCAAAUCCCGCAUGUACGAAAGUCACUAAGAUUUAAAUUAUGUCGUACUUUACGUUAUGCCUACUCCCAACAACUUGUAAUGCAGCGGAUCUCAAUAGUAUUGCAAUGUCAUUUCAACUAUAUACCUCAGAUAAUAAUAAGGGCAAAUUACAGAAAUCACAUACUUUUUAGGUAAAAUUACAAUUUAUUCCUUAAAAGUUUAUAAUUACAGAAAUCCCUCAAACGGAUACAAUAAUAUAAGCACUGAUACAUUAAUCUGAUGCGCAAGAUACAUUAAUCCUUAAGUAAGAUACAUUACAUUUUAUACAUGAUACACUAAUAUGAUGUACAUUUUAUACAUGAUAUACUAAUUUGAUGUGCGAGAUACACUAAUCUGUACAUGAUACACUAAUCUGAUGUACAUUUAUACAUGAUACAUAAAUCUGAUGCGCGAGAUACACUAAUCUAAUGCGCGAAAAUGAGGGAUUUUGAAGAUUUGUAAAACUUAUAGGGGAUAAUGGUAAUAAGUAAACUAAAAUGUGAGAUUUCUAUAAUUUUUCCUAAUAAUAAUAAUGUUCGAAUCAAUUUAUGUGUAUAUUAAAUAGUUCACUAAGGAGUUGUUAGGUUAACAGUCCACGUUAUAUGUUGGAGUUAGAAGUAUUUAAAUAUUAAAGUGUAUGAUAUAUAUAUUAGUGGAGAAAAUGAUCAAAAUAGUUCUUAAUGUAUAUGUGUAGCUUUAUUUUGGUUCUUAAUGUAUCAAAUAAAAAGUUAUAUUUAACAGUGGAUUUCACAUGUAGCUAACAAAAUAUACUAUUGUUAUUUCCUUUGUAAGCUCAAAAUAAAAAAAGAUCCAUGACUAUAUACCAUCAUUUUUUCUAACAAAAAUUAUUAGCUACACAUAUACAUUAAGGACCAUUUUGAUCAUUUUCUUUAUAUUAGUGAACAUAAAGUAGAGAACGUAGUCAAUAUAUUUUGUAACUCAUAUAACUAUAUUUUUGGUAGUUGGUUAGAGUUAUGCAAGUAUUAGUAAUGUAGUGAUUAGUUAGAAGUAAAUCUAGGUAUUAUUAGCUAUGCAUGAAUAUUAUUCAUGUAUUAAUUAUUCAACCUUCUAUUUUACAUAAAAUAAUACAUAAUUUCUUCGUAACUUAUACGUGUAUUAAGAAGUAUUAGUUAUGUGGAUUUCAAAACUAUCAAUCAAAUGUCAUGUUAAUUUUUAUGCAUAAUAACUUACUUCUUAUAUAUAGUCAUCAAACAUAGUAUAAGUUAUCCAAAAAUUAAUAAUAUAUGGAUAUUUUAUUUCUUAUUCGGCUAUCAGAAAAUUUAAUGACAUAGUGUUUAUGUUAUCUCCUAUUAGUUACCUCAUUGCACCUGACAUGGUGUUGAAUUCACCGGGUAAUCCAAAAUUGUUGAGUCACAUGACGUUGUUGGAGUGUUAUAUAAUAUAAAAAACAAAUCAAGAAUACUAUUUUUAGGUCGGUGAAAUUCAAUCUUUUAAAAUAAAAUAAUAUUUAUUUAUCGAAAAUAAUAGUUUCCCGGCAAGGAGAGCUCGACCCAGCUCUACUCCCAGUAAUAUACACAGGCCCAUAAGUUGUUCCGCCGGAAACAGAACUCCGGCGGCGCAAGCAGCCGGAGUUGAGAUCACCGGCGUUAGUAUUUUUCCACUUGAUGAAGAACAGAGCAUUUUUUCCGGUGGCUAUGUUUUUUAAUCUUCCUUGCUUCUUUCAAAAUCUGCUGAUUAAACAGUAAUUAGAAUCCCAAAUUAUUGAAUAUUGAAAUAAAAUUGAUUCAAAUUGACCAAAAUUGAACAUUAGAGGAAUGUAUAUUAUCACUGUACUCAUUAUUAGUUAGAUGAGUAUUAAGAACGAGCGGAUUCUAAAUUUUAAGUUUAUAAGUUAUGAAUUUUAAGUUUAUAAGUCAUGAGUAUCUAUUUCGAAAGAUCGUGGAUUAACUAGCACAGUGAGUUAAUUAGCACACAAUCAAAACAAAUAGAGAAAAAAUAAAUUGAGACUGUUGUGUAUAAUAAAAAGAUAUGACAUAUUUUAUAUGGUGAACUAGACGUUGAGACCAUGCACUAUACUUGUUUAGAUGCUAAAUUUGAAAUAUACUAUAAUUUGAGUGUCUAAAUAAAUUUAUUAUUCGGUGGAUUAAAAAUGAUGCAUAUCUUCUAGAUUAGAAAAAGUCCAAAAAACUGUCCAUUUUGUCUUGAAGCUUCACAUGGUAUUUGGCGUAUACGGUGGAGCAAUAGUCCACGUUUUUUUAAAAAUAAAUGGAUGGUAGACUAGAAAAAAAAAUAUUUUUUUUUUUUUCAAUAUUUGAUAAGUAAAUAAAAACACUAUUCCAAUGAGUUAUGAUAUAGAAAUUCAGUAGCUUUUAUUGAAAUUUUGUAUAUGUAAUAAAAUAUUCACCAACUGUGAAUCUAGUUAUUAUCACAUAUAUUAACUUAACUAUUAUUAUAAAAAUACUAUCACAAAGUUCCAAAUUCGAACUUAUUUUACCAGUCAUAUUAUGACAAGUAACGAACACUGCUUACACAAAAUACUGCAUACGCUAGAGAAAGUUUAGAACUUUUGAAUGAAGUCAUAGAUGUGUUUGCUAAUCUCAUUUGGCCUUUCUUGGUUGACAAAGUGAGCUGCACCUUCUAAAACCACAACUUCCUCCAACAAUGGAACAUCUUUCUUAAAUCC